AUCUAAAUAGUUUAAUUAAAAUGUUGGUUUGUGGUGCCUAUGAUACAGUUUUCUGUUUUGGAUU
rnacentral:tRNA from 1 species